rnacentral:rRNA from 1 species
UACACUCCUACGGGAGGCAGCAGUGGGGAAUAUUGGACAAUGGGCGCAAGCCUGAUCCAGCCAUGCCGCGUGAGUGAUGAAGGCCCUAGGGUUGUAAAGCUCUUUCACCGGUGAAGAUAAUGACGGUAACCGGAGAAGAAGCCCCGGCUAACUUCGUGCCAGCAGCCGCGGUAAUACGAAGGGGGCUAGCGUUGUUCGGAUUUACUGGGCGUAAAGCGCACGUAGGCGGACUAUUAAGUCAGGGGUGAAAUCCCGGGGCUCAACCCCGGAACUGCCUUUGAUACUGGUAGUCUUGAGUUCGAGAGAGGUGGGUGGAAUUCCGAGUGUAGGGGUGAAAUUCGUAGAUAUUCGGAGGAACACCAGUGGCGAAGGCGGCUCACUGGCUCGAUACUGACGCUGAGGUGCGAAAGCGUGGGGAGCAAACAGGAUUAGAUACCCUAGUAGUCCCAUGA